rnacentral:lncRNA from 1 species
AUAAUACUCAGAACACAAUAUACACAACCAGAGAAGCAAAACAUUGAUGUACAGGGGAAAGGUAAAAGUCAGAACUUCCUAUAUUAACUGCACUCUCCACCGUACUAAAAGAAUCAACAUUUUCUUCUGCUUCUAGUUUUUUGGAAAAUCCACCAUCUAUCGUCAAUAGUUUGAAAAGUGUGAUGGACCAUGACCCAUUUCGUGCUAGUUUAGGAAAUCUAGACUCAUCAGCUAGUUCAAUGUAGAUUUCCUAGUUGAUCUCAAAAAAACCAAAACAUGUCCUAAUGAAAUCGUUCCAGUUCUACUAAUGCAACUGAAUGGAACUCUCAACAAACUAUAUAUAAUUGAACCCAAUAAGAAAAAUUAGUUAUGACCAGUAUUUCUUAUUACGUCAACCAUAGCACCUGCAUGAUUCUAUCUUUCUUAUUAUGUCAACCAUAACAUCUGCACAGCGUCAUAACAUGAUUUCUCAAAACUUCAAAUCCAGAUUAUAUUCCUCUCUUCAUAACAAUCAGAACAGAAAAUAAAGGAAAUGCAGGAAAAUAACUAACAGUAGCAUAGGUGGAUUACAAAAGAAACAGAAAAUAUUCUUCUAUUCUAACUAAUCAAGUUAUUAGCCAUCGUAACGUAUCGUCAGAGCAAGAUCAUGUUUGACCAUAGAAAUCCACCCCCCAACCAACCGACAUAAAAAAACUUUUUUAUCUUCUUCAGUGGAAUACCAAGGAUAAGUAUUUGCCAAUUCACUAGCUUUAGGAGUAUGUUUGGGUUUGUGCAUUCAUACACCUACAUCUGCGCAUGUAGGUAUUUCUAGAUUUUCACCACCUCAAUCAGAUUAGAUCACAUGGCUUGGCAAAAGGAAGCAAAAACAAUGAUGGCUAAGGGAUCCAUGAAAUAUUGUCCCCAUGACUACUAGAUGGCCCUUUAAGGACUGGCUUUUGAUAUGCUGGCCCACAAUUAGAAAGAUUGAGACGCAAAAUUUAGAAAGCCAGGGCACAUGGCAUGUCAAUAAGAACUCCCAAAAGCAAAACAGAUAGCAAUGUCGUUAACUAGUCAUUAACAGUUAGAACCUAAGAGGUAUACUUCUCUAAACGACUAAAUAUAUCUUUAUCACAAAACAGGAGUUUUCACUUCACCCUCAGAAAAAAAUAAAAAAAGAAAGAUCCAACAGGCAAACAGCCAUCAAUUCCAGCUUGAGAAACCACAAAGUGGAAGUUGGAGGGGGAGUACAGGAGUGACUGGAUGCCUUGCCCCCACAACUUCCUUUCUCCAACCUCCUGCUGGAAAGUGGAUGAUAUUACAUCAAAUCUAGAAUAAUUAACUUUUAGGAAAGAUGGAUGAGUUAGGUCUUGAAUCUCUUUAUCUUUUAGCUUGAAAUUACCAGUAUCUCAUCAUGUUUCUUUUCACUUUCAGAUUCUUAAAGCUUACAUAGUUCAAAUUGUCCAUCUUUAUGAUGUUGGAUGUUGAUUUCAUUUUUAAUCCUGAAACUUUGUUUCAUAAAAUUUUUAAUCUUGAAAUUUGUUUCAUAGAAUUUUGAAACUAACUUUAUAGUGGGGUCUUUGUUGAUAAAGUUCAUCAAUGAAAUCUAAUUAAAAAUCCACAUGCAUAAGGUUAUUAAAUUUCUGCUUUUUAAUUACUUUUUGCUUGUUUCUUUACUAGUCUUAUUGUCUUAAUCAUGCUUUCAAACAAGGCUUCAAGCUUAAAUGGUCACAAUUGGGAAUUCUAGUAUCGGUGAAAUUUGAUAUCAGCAGAUAUUUUUAUUUACCAAAACUUUACAUUUUGUUUAUAUAACUCUAUUUAGGCAAUCUUAAAUUUUCUGAGAAAAUUAAGAAUCCUCAAAUACUUUAUCACAUGACACAGAGAAAUACAAUCAUACAAAUGAAUCACACAGUAACCUCAUGAAAUGUCAUUAAUGAAACGGAUCAAGCAAGAGGUUCAUAUAAAACUCCCCUCCCUAACAUGUAAGAGUCUGUUUCCAAUAGUAGUGUGUUUCCAAGAGCUAAUUAAGCAUUUGAUUAAAGUAAUUAAAGAAAGGAUAUCUUCAGGCAACAAACUAAAAAAACUUCCAAAUUUAUAUCCAGCUCUAUCAUUCAUGUGUUUAUCCUACAAAGGAAAAUAAGCAAUACCUAAAACACAGAGAAAACCUGUCAUUUUGAUUUCAACUUUAUUUUCAGAUAUCUACAUCAGGAGAGGAACCUCCCUUCCCUCCCUAAAUAAGAGUACAAGAGAAGAGGCAACUGAACCUCAGGUGAGGGUGAAGCCUUAUUAAAACUGGAAGUGUUCAUCAUCCACUCUAAGUUACAUUGUCAUCCCCUUUGUUCAAAGGACCAUAGUGUUAUGUGUUUAAUAGUUUAGAGUCUCUUGGCUACAUUCCGAACACAGGGGACAAACAUACA